CCCUUAGAUGUUCUGGGCUGCACGCGCGCUGCACUGACGCACGCAACAGGUGCCUGCUCCGAGAGGACUGGGUAAUCAUUUGAGUGUGCGUCGUGAUGGGGAUAGAAUAUUGUAAUUAUUACUCUUCAACGAGGAAUUCCUAGUAAGCGCCAGUCAGCAGCUUGCGCUGAUUACGUCCCUGCCCUUUGUACACACCGCCCGUCGCUCCUACCGAUGGGUGAUCCGGUGAAUGAUUCGGACUUCAGCGGCUCCCCUGGGGUGCGCCGGAGAAAGUUUUGUGAACCUUAUCACUUGGAGGAAGGAGAAGUCGUAACA
rnacentral:rRNA from 1 species